AGACGGUAAAAGGUGGGCACCAAACCGUUCCGUAGGUGAACCUGCG
rnacentral:rRNA from 1 species